rnacentral:rRNA from 1 species
CUGCCAGCAGCCGCGGUAAUACGGAGGCGGCUAGCGUUGUUCGGAAUUACUGGGCGUAAAGCGCACGUAGGCGGACCGGAAAGUUGGGGGUGAAAUCCCGGGGCUCAACCUCGGAACUGCCUUCAAAACUAUCGGUCUGGAGUACGAGAG